rnacentral:rRNA from 1 species
AGUGAACGCUGGCGGUAGGCCUAACACAUGCAAGUCGAACGGCAGCACAGGAGAGCUUGCUCUCUGGGUGGCGAGUGGCGGACGGGUGAGGAAUACAUCGGAAUCUACUCUGUCGUGGGGGAUAACGUAGGGAAACUUACGCUAAUACCGCAUACGACCUACGGGUGAAAGCAGGGGAUCUUCGGACCUUGCGCGAGUGAAUGAGCCGAUGUCGGAUUAGCUAGUUGGCGGGGUAAAGGCCCACCAAGGCGACGAUCCGUAGCUGGUCUGAGAGGAUGCUCAGCCACACUGGAACUGAGACACGGUCCAGACGCCUACGGGAGGCAGCAGUGGGGAAUAUUGGACAAUGGGCGCAAGCCUGAUCCAGCCAUACCGCGUGGGUGAAGAAGGCCUUCGGGUUGUAAAGCCCUUUUGUUGGGAAAGAAAUCCAGCUGGCUAAUACCCGGUUGGGAUGACGGUACCCAAAGAAUAAGCACCGGCUAACUUCGUGCCAGCCGCCGCAGUAA